rnacentral:rRNA from 2 species
CUAUGUACGGAAUGGAUAAGCGCUGAAAGCAUCUAAGCGCGAAGCCAACUUCAAGAUAAGAUUUCCCACCGCAAGGGUAAGACCCCAGAAAGACUAUCUGGUUGAUAGGUCGAAGGUGUAAGUGCAGUAAUGUAUUUAGCUUAUCGAUACUAAUAGGUCGAGGACUUGACCAAUAUUUAUU